AGCGAACGCUGGCGGCAGGCUUAACACAUGCAAGUCGAGCGCUCGUAGCAAUACGGGAGCGGCAGACGGGUGAGUAACACGUGGGAACGUACCUUUUGGUUCGGAACAACACAGGGAAACUUGUGCUAAUACCGGAUAAGCCCUUACGGGGAAAGAUUUAUCGCCGAAAGAUCGGCCCGCGUCUGAUUAGCUAGUUGGUGAGGUAAUGGCUCACCAAGGCGACGAUCAGUAGCNGGUCUGAGAGGAUGAUCAGCCACAUUGGGACUGAGACACGGCCCAAACUCCUACGGGAGGCAGCAGUGGGGAAUAUUGGACAAUGGGCGCAAGCCUGAUCCAGCCAUGCCGCGUGAGUGAUGAAGGCCUUAGGGUCGUAAAG
rnacentral:rRNA from 1 species